rnacentral:rRNA from 1 species
UACGGAGGGGGCUAGCGUUGUUCGGAAUUACUGGGCGUAAAGCGCACGUAGGCGGCUUUGUAAGUUAGAAGUGAAAGCCCGGGGCUCAACUCCGGAAUUGCCUUUAAGACUGCAUCGCUAGAAUUGUGGAGAGGUAAGUGGAAUUCCGAGUGUAGAGGUGAAAUUCGUAGAUAUUCGGAAGAACACCAGUGGCGAAGGCGACUUACUGGACACAUAUUGACGCUGAGGUGGCGAAAGCGUGGGGAGCAAACAGG